rnacentral:pre_miRNA from 1 species
UCUUGGAGGAAGGAGCUCUCUUCAGUCCAGUCCGAGAUGGAUUUUAGCUGAUCUCUGCUGCUGACUCGCUGGUUCAUGAACCCAUCAAGCUACGGGAUGAGAUGUGUUUUUGAUCCAUCGAUGCAGGAGCUGGGCUUGGCUGAGACUGUCUCGUCUUGGACUGAAGGGAGCUCCCUUCUAUUCUACG